AUUUCAGCAAAACAAAGUACAUUGAUGUCAAAUAUGGUCUUAUUUCAAUUCAAUUUAUUAAUGAGGGCCACAAUAUCAGAGGGACUGAGAAAUAUUAGUAGCUCAGAAAUUCAAUCUUUGAAGGGAUGGAAUAAGCUUUGCAGUCAUUGGAAAAAGUACAACAGUUUUUGAAUGCAAGGUAACAUGAGAUCAAAGCCUAGUGCAGAAAAUAAAACCACUAG
rnacentral:misc_RNA from 1 species